GAUGAACGCUGGCGGCGUGCCUAAUACAUGCAAGUCGAGCGAACAGACGAGGAGCUUGCUCCUUCGACGUUAGCGGCGGACGGGUGAGUAACACGUAGGUAACCUACCUAUAAGACUGGGAUAACUUCGGGAAACCGGAGCUAAUACCGGAUAAUAUUUCGAACCGCAUGGUUCGAUAGUGAAAGAUGGCUUUGCUAACACUUAUAGAUGGACCUGCGCCGUAUUAGCUAGUUGGUAAGGUAACGGCUUACCAAGGCAACGAUACGUAGCCGACCUGAGAGGGUGAUCGGCCACACUGGAACUGAGACACGGUCCAGACUCCUACGGGAGGCAGCAGUAGGGAAUCUUCCGCAAAGGGCGAAAGCCUGACGGAGCAACGCCGCGUGAGUGAUGAAGGUCUUCGGAUCGUAAAACUCUGUUAUUAGGGAAGAACAAACGUGUAAGUAACUGUGCACGUCUUGACGGUACCUAAUCAGAAAGCCACGGCUAACUACGUG
rnacentral:rRNA from 1 species